CUGCAUCACAAAGGGCCAGCACAGCAAGGGGCACCAGGAAUCCAGGGACCGUUAUUUAAUUGAUGGCACUGGCAGAUGAUGGUCUCUCUUCCACGCAUGAGACAUGGUGCAGGUCUGCAUGAUGUCGUCUUCUUUUCCCUUGUGCAUUCUCAGAACAGAUAGCCCAGAUGGCACUGUGAUUCACUGUAAAGCAGGAAGGAGAUAAUGCAGCAGCAUCUGCAGUGCUGCCAGGAGGAACACCUCUAUAGCAAUUGGGUGGAUCUUGGCUACCUCUGGGCCAAUUCUCCCUGUGUAGAUCUUGAUGAAGAAGAGAGUUCUGGGGAAUCCUGUGAGCCCUGUGGCAUAGCAUUUAAGUGACUAUUUUGGUUUGACUAGCAUAGUUCGAGCUGAACCAGUUCUCACCGUAAUAUCCGCUUUUGGUUCCGAAGGGACAUAGUCUUCAUAUACCUCAGCACUUCCUGAAGACUUUCUUGGUACUGUUCAAAGUAAGAUAUAAUGAGUUGCUCGGUUGCAUACAUUCUUUGCUUCAUUGCUUGUUCUCUCAGACGUGCUAUCAUAACCAAGGCACAUGGUGAGAUGGAAAGACACUGCAUCCGAAGUCAAGGGACCAAGGUUUCAGAUUCUCAAUACCACCGUUGCAUGAUGGCCAACGGACAUAUCACUCUGCACUUUGCUUCUUGAUUUCUUCAUUGAGGAACAGUAAAAUGGUUGAGUCUGUUCCCGGCUGUCAGACUGCCAAAGGCUGUAGAAGCAUAGCACCAGCAUCUGCUCGACUUCUUACGAGGCCUCAGGAAGCUUAUAAUCAUGGCAGAAAGUGAAGGGGAAGCAGGUGAUGAAAAUGAAACACAGAAAAAUAAAGAAACUUGUCCAAGCUUGUACAGUUGGCAAAUUGACUCACUGGAAGACUUCCAUCCAGAUGGAAAAAGAGAGAUCUCCAAGUCAGAAGGACCGCCUCAUUUUCCAGUAGUGCUGAACUCCACCAUGCAGACCAUAAACCUCUGCUCCGUCUUGUCCCUAGUGUCCCAAAUAAAAUUUGUAAAAGGGGAAAACAAACAAACAACAACAAAAAACAAUGCCCACAUCUUUCAUGAUGAGGAAAAUGGAUCCACGAAUGGAAAGAUUUCUGUUUUGGCUGAGUACACAAGGACCCAAUCUGACAAUCCACAGGAUAUAUUGAGUCUCUCCAUGUAUCUAGGGGUCUGCACUAGCGGUGUUCUACAGAUACCACUAUCUCAAACUAUUCCCAACUGAAUAUCUUAUCUUUUCACCCAAAUUGCUCAUUCAGUCACCCAAUCAAACCUAGAACUUGGAUAUCAUCCACAUGACUAUUCCUCACCCGCUAUUACCUGCCAAACUGUCUGAUCUACUCAGUCAUUAAGUUAACUUAUGUUGAUUUGGUUUCCUUAUUACUUUUCCUCUUUUACCCAUUUCUUCUGGUACUGCUGCUUCGUUCAGUUCCUAGUUCGCUCUUUCCCAAACUACUGUGGUAAUCUCCCUUCUGAUUUCAAUGGCAUCUCAUCUCACGUUGAAUGACCUACAAGGUCCUCCGUGAGUCUAAUGUCUCUGCUACCUAAAUUUUCUCAUCCUAAAUUUCAGCGAUGUUGAACUAUUCGCAGGUCUCCACUUCAUGUGAUUUUAUAUCCCAUGCCUUUGAAUAUUCUUCUUUUCUUGGAGUGUCACUCCCACAUAAUUGUAUCUGUCAAACUCAUAUUCCUAUUUUAAGACCCAGCUCAAGCAUCAUUUUCUAGAAAGACUUGCUGGAAGCCCAAAUUGUUGAUCAUUCUCUUCACUGGGUCCCCUCUUUAAUUUGUACAUACUGCAUUAUUAUACUUGGUAGCUGUAUUGCCAUUGUUUGCUUGCAGUCCUGUAUCUCCUCUACAAAUGUAAAUGGCCAAAGGCAGGAACUAUGGCUUUUCAUUUUUUUGUCUUCGGCAUCUAUCACGUUAUCUGGCACACAGCAGAUUCUCAGGCCAGAGGAUCUACCACCACAGAACCAUUCUAGAUGUCAAUUCCUGGUAAGAAAUGAUUGGGAGUUAACAGAAGAACCACAGAGAGGACUCUGGAUUCUCAGCUAGUGUUUGAUACCAUCUAAGGGUUCCAUCAGUUUAGUGCUCACACAGCACUUAUUAGCUAUGAGACCUUGACCAGAUGAAGAAACUGAGACUUAGAAAGGAAGAAAGAGUCACCCAGGUAGCUGGUCACAGAAUCCGUCCCUCCCUAGGGAUCGAGGAAGAAAGUGCUAACACUGCCAAGUCAUGCUGCUUGAGAAGGGUUAAUCUGGCUUCCCAAUUUCUACGUUCCAAAGCACAUUACAGACCUGCAGAUAGACUAAAUAUUCAACAACACUUUCCGCACACUCCUCCAGGUCCUGGGAUCAGCUAAAUCCACUAAAGCUUUGGCAUUUAGCAAGCCGAAUCCAAAUCGACUGUUCACCAUCAAGCCUGCUCCAUUCUUUUUCCAUCCAGGGUUAUUGGCCAGUGGGUCGUACUCAGAGGUCCAGACAACCAAGUGCUGCAUAUCUCGCCAGUCUCAUGGUGUCCAUCAAAAGCCUCAGCACUUUCAGCAUUAUGAACCCACAGAAGAGGCCCUGAAUUCCUUCUUAGGAAGAGUGAGAUGUUAAAGACACAGACUGGUUACCUACUGUAAACAUGUAUUGCCUUUUUCUUUAUCUAUCAGAAGUGUCAAGAAACUCUUAGCUGUUUGAGCUCACCGUUGCAAGGCACUAUACUAAUACUGUGAGGAUAUUCAAGGAUGUGGUUCUUGUCUUCAAGAAGUUUACAAUCCAGUAAAAAGAAUUAAGGCUUUUCAUAAUUCUAUCUGCUGAAUGCUAUAUUCAUAGUUUAAUGCAUUGUGGAAGUUCAGAGGAGAAAGAAUUUCCAUGGAAUAGAAAGAUCUCGGAAAGCUUUGUGGGGGAGAAAUAUUGGAGCUGGACUUUGACAGGGGGUAGAAUAUUAAGAAGUGGAGAUAGAGAAGAAGGCAUGAGGCCACUGGAGCAAAAGCACCAAGGUGGGACAGUGCAGAUGUGGCCCAGGUGACAGCCUGGUUUGCUGGAGCAGGGAGAGCCAGUGAGGAGUACCGAGCUAGAGCGAUGAGAACCUUGUGUGCCAGAAAGGGAGCUUAUACAUUAUUCUUUAGGCAGUGGAAAUCUGAGGAUUUUUGAGCAAGUAAAUAGUAAAAUCAUAAGUCUCAGUAAGAUUAAUUUAGCAACACUAUAAAGAUAAAUCAGAGAUAUAAGGGAUUGUUGGAUCUAUUAUAAUAUGAUGAGGCCUUCCUCAAUCAACCUAUUUAAAAUUUCCACUCCCCCACAUCAUCCCGAGCUCUCUUAUUCUGCUAUAUGUGCAUGUUCUCCUUCCAUAACACAUACAGGCUUCUAACAUGCUGGAACACUCAUUUUCAUUAUGUAUUAUUAAUGUCUGUCUCUCUGGUUCUAAUUUAACUGUGAGAGGUGGUGACAUCUUUAUCUAACUUGUUCUCUGAUGUGUAGCACCCAGAAGAAUGCUGAGCACAGAGUGUAAGCUCAGCAGAUAUGGUUGGUUCCGAGACUGAACAUGCCUAAGUGCUAACUAGCCCCAAAUAGAACUUUAAAACAUAUUGCUCCUAGUCAUCAGUCAGAUUCUCAAACUUCUCCUUGACUUUGAGACCUGUAUUGUUCUCUGAAGCCAAUCAAGCAUUAUGUAAUAAGUAGAUGCCCCAGUUUUUACUCUUCAAAGUUCCCGUCUCAGCACUCGGUUGGAGAACAAUCAUCAGACAAGUCUGGCUCACUUUGCUGCCUUCUCCCCAGAGCCCAUCAUGUACUGGUUCAGAAAUCCCCUGGUGACAAGAAAGGCCGUGGACACUCCUAAACAUUGAAGAGUUCAGCUCCCGGUUAAAAAUGGUGUGUGAUUUUUUCGGGCCUGACCAUAGGCUACUUGAAAGGUUGUACCCGGCACACCACACGGGGAAGCUGCCUUCCCACGCAGACACAGUGCACAGCUGGUGCCUCGCAGCCUCUGAGAGAAGUUCCCAUGAAAGCCGCAGGCCCCGGCCCCGUCAUGUUCGAUCCAUAUUGACAUUCCUAGCUGGUGAGAGCUUUCCUUUCUAGGUCCCUCGUCAGGCGCCUCUGCCUAGGCCUCCUGGUGGAGACAGGAGGGGAAACAUCCAGGCACUUUCCUCAUUCAGACUCUGCCUGAUGCUUCUCCACUCCUGCACUCUCUUGGUUUCUCUCUGCCUCAUACCCGAGAGUCCAUAAAAUUGCCGAAGCCUUUUGUUCGGAUCUCCCUCAACAGUGCGAUGACCCUCAUGUCUGUGCUGAGCCACUCAACCAGUGUGCCAAGCCAUGGGGAAAAGGAGCCGGGCGAGUCAGUGUUUUCUCCGGUUCAGACUCUUGCUUAUAUCACAGCAGUAAGUGAUUAAACGUUCAGUGCUUUCAUUUUUGGCUUGUUGCAUUAAUGGGUUACUCCACACAUGACAGCUCAGCUCACCUGAGCUGAGCUCAUGACAAACAUACCACUUCACCCUGGAGAGGGAUUGACAGAGGCCUUGGAAGGUCACCAGUUUAGGAAUCCUCACUGAGUCCCAGAAUGCUUGCCUUAUAAUCGCCUGGUACAGGUGUAAAUAGAAUAGAGCAUUUUAUUGAAGUGCUUGCUUCCUUCCAGUCUUUUCAAAGGAGUUUUAGGUAAAAGCCUCAUAUCAAGGCAGUCAAUGGGCAACACACCAGUUUUCCAUUUGGAUCAUCAGUGUGCAGGUGCGUGUAUGGAGGCAGGAAGGAGGAAGCGUACUGAGGAGGCUUAAGGCAAGAUACUGAUAAUCAUGAUUUUCACAUAUAGCACACAUGUCCUAUAUUGCUGCAGUAGAGCCGUUAUUUUAUAUGUUUGCAGGUUUUAUUGUUUUAAAAGUUUCCUUUAUCUAGUCUUUGCAAAAUAUUCAAGGAGCUUCAUUGUCAUGCAAUUAGAAAAGCCUAUUUUUCUAACAGAGCUGUUCUUCAUUUGUGUGCUUGUGUUUUAUAAAUAAAAAGGAGCUGCUGACAACAGUGCAACUC